AUUUUUAUUAAAUGUUUAGAUAAAUAUGGAUAAAUUUUAAUUUUAGAAAAUCAUUUUCUCUCUUACCUCUUUGUCUUCUCCACCACCAUUGUUUCUCUUCACCUCUCUGUCUUCUCUUCACCAUUGUUCCAUCUUCACCAUUGUUUUCUCUCUUACCUCUUUGUCUUCUCCUCCACCAUUUCUCUUCACCAUUGUUCCAUCUUACCUGAAGAGGAGGCAUCGAUUUACGCCGUCGAAGCGAAAAGAGGAGCCUAUAAAACAUCGUGAGGUCCCGUCGUCCCUCUACGUCCUCUGACCCCUUUUCUUCGGACAGCCACCUCUGCCCUCUCCUCUGGGUUGGGUAACACUACAAUUGACCCGAGAUCCCACCUUUGCAAGAGGAUUCUUGUCUGCUAGAUCCGUCACUGGGUUUCUUUCAGAUGUUUAUUCUGUAGCUGCUGAUGAAGUUGGGAAAAUUUUUGUUAUUGUUGAUGAAAGGGUAUGUAUCUAUCUACAAUAUGGUGUGCUUAUCUAUUCUUUGAGCUCCUAUACACAUGAUAAAUUUGUGUAGCAUUUUUGGUAACCUGAAGUUGAAUUACUCACUGCGAAGUAUUUUUGGAGCAGGCAGAUCUUAGCAAACCAGAGACAAUUCCUGUAACGUUGGUUGGCAUUCACACUGUUAUUGAUUGUGCCACAGGGCGCCCAGAAGAGCCUAUAAAGACGGUCAUUAAUCAUAUUUAGAGAAUGUCUUCAUCUGAUUUUGAAUCUCCGAAGAAAACAUCUAAAAAUACGCAAUCCCCUUCUUCUACUCGUGGUGUGAAAAGAAAGUGCAUUGGUGAAACAUCUAAAUGGAACAAGGUUUUUUCUAAUUAUUCUCUUAAAGUACCAAGCUACUUAUUUUCCAUGCUCUUUUAUUUAAUAUCAGUUUAUUCAUGAUUUAUUUUCAAUGAUCUUUUAUAUUGAAAUUUAAUAUUAAUUCAUCUUAGCUACUUAUUUGCAGUGACUGUGGUGCAUUUGUGAUUACUUUUGCUGAUCACAUAAUUCAUGACACCAUAAAUGGCAUAUCUCCUAAACUCAACAUUGCCAAUUAUCGUGAUGACCUUGCUGUUUGUCUUUACCAUCAUGCUAAAAAGAAGCAAGAGGAUGGGUACAAGACUGAUGUAGAGGAACCUGAAAAGCCUGAGAAAACGAAGCAGAAGACUGAUGUAGAGGAACCUGAAAAGCCCGAGAAGGAAAAGAAGAAGACUGAUGCAGAGGCACCUGAAAAGACUGAGAAGAAGAAAAAGAAGGAUGUUGAAGAGGCACCUAGAAAACUUGAGAAGAAGAAAAGGAAGGUUGUUCAAGACGCACCUGAAAAACCCGAGAAGAAAAAGAUGUAGUAGUUUUAUAUUUUUUGUGUGAACAUAAAUUGAGUUCUUAUUCUUAAUGUCUCAAAGUGUGCUCUUUGAGAUUUCAUACUUUGUUUCAAACACACCUGGUUACUUUCUUAUAUUGUUAGGUUACUUUGUAAAGCAUGACAAACACACCUGGUUAUUUUUUUUCCUAAUCUUUUUCAAUGAAUAGGUGUCUUCUAAUUCUUGUUUCAGUAAUAAAAAUUGGAUUUAGUAAUGAUGAGUUGUAUUAUGUACCAGGUUACUUUAUAAAUCAUAAUAGACAUACUAAGUUACUUUUUUUUAUUAAAUCAAGACAUCAAAUUUUAUAAGUAAAAAAAUUAAAAUUAUACUUGAAACAAAAACAAAUCUGUAUAAAUUGAAAUUUUAAUGGUACCAGGUUAAUUAAUUUUCUUAA